rnacentral:rRNA from 1 species
UCUCCGUUGGUGAACCAGCGGAGGGAUCAUUACCGAGUUUGCAACUCCCAAACCCCUGUGAACAUACCUACGUCGUUGCUUCGGCGGGAACAGACGGCCCCGUAACACGGGCCGCCCCCGCCAGAGGACCCCCCAUACCCUGUUAUUAUUGUGUUUUUCUGAGUAAAACAAGCAAAUAAAUUAAAACUUUCAACAACGGAUCUCUUGGCUCUGGCAUCGAUGAAGAACGCAGCGAAAUGCGAUACGUAAUGUGAAUUGCAGAAUUCAGUGAAUCAUCGAAUCUUUGAACGCACAUUGCGCCCGCCAGUACUCUGGCGGGCAUGCCUGUCCGAGCGUCAUUAACAACCCUCAGGCCCCCGGGCCUGGUGUUGGGGAUCGGCGGAGCCCCCCGCGGGCACACGCCGUCCCCUAAAUUCAUUGGCGGUCUCGCUGCAGCCUCCAUUGCGUAGUAGCUAACACCUCGCAACUGGAACGCGGCGCGACCAUGCCGUAAAACACCCAACUUCUGAAUGUUGACCUCGGAUCAGGUAGGAAUACCCGCUGAACUUAA